AAGUGGGGGGCGUGCUUACACAUGCAAGUCGAACGAUGAAGCCCUUCGGGGUGGAUUAGUGGCGAACGGGUGAGUAACACGUGGGCAAUCUGCCCUGCACUCUGGGACAAGCCCUGGAAACGGGGUCUAAUACCGGAUAUUGACCAUCUUGGGCAUCCUUGAUGGUGGAAAGCUCCGGCGGUGCAGGAUGAGCCCGCGGCCUAUCAGCUUGUUGGUGAGGUAAUGGCUCACCAAGGCGACGACGGGUAGCCGGCCUGAGAGGGCGACCGGCCACACUGGGACUGAGACACGGCCCAGACUCCUACGGGAGGCAGCAGUGGGGAAUAUUGCACAAUGGGCGAAAGCCUGAUGCAGCGACGCCGCGUGAGGGAUGACGGCCUUCGGGUUGUAAACCUCUUUCAGCAGGGAAGAAGCGAAAGUGACGGUACCUGCAGAAGAAGCGCCGGCUAACUACGUGCCAGCAGCCGCGGUAAUACGUAGGGCGCGAGCGUUGUCCGGAAUUAUUGGGCGUAAAGAGCUCGUAGGCGGCUUGUCACGUCGGUUGUGAAAGCCCGGGGCUUAACCCCGGGUCUGCAGUCGAUACGGGCAGGCUAGAGUUCGGUAGGGGAGAUCGGAAUUCCUGGUGUAGCGGUGAAAUGCGCAGAUAUCAGGAGGAACACCGGUGGCGAAGGCGGAUCUCUGGGCCGAUACUGACGCUGAGGAGCGAAAGCGUGGAGGAAAAAAAAGAAAAAAAGGGGUUUGGUG
rnacentral:rRNA from 1 species